rnacentral:rRNA from 1 species
GACGAACGCUGGCGGCGUGCUUAACACAUGCGAGUCGAACGGAAAGGCCCUGCUUUUGUGGGGUGCUCGAGUGGCGAACGGGUGAGAAACACGUGAGUAACCUGCCCUUGACUUUGGGAUAACUUCAGGAAAUUGGGGCUAAUACCGGAUAGGAGCUCCUGCUGCAUGGUGGGGGUUGGAAAGUUUCGGCGGUUGGGGAUGGACUCGCGGCUUAUCAGCUUGUUGGUGGGGUAGUGGCUUACCAAGGCUUUGACGGGUAGCCGGCCUGAGAGGGUGACCGGCCACAUUGGGACUGAGAUACGGCCCAGACUCCUACGGGAGGCAGCAGUGGGGAAUAUUGCACAAUGGGCGGAAGCCUGAUGCAGCAACGCCGCGUGCGGGAUGACGGCCUUCGGGUUGUAAACCGCUUUCGCCUGUGACGAAGCGUGAGUGACGGUAAUGGGUAAAGAAGCACCGGCUAACUACGUG